CGUAGCAUAGCUCAACCCAGAGCACCCCGCUUACACCGGGGAAGUACCUGUGAAAAUCAGGUUGCCUCGA
rnacentral:tRNA from 1 species